UGAGUAGUAUUAGUUAUGUUCUUGAAACUUAAAGAAUUUGGCGGUAUCUCAUUCCGUCCAGAGGAAUCUGUCUCGUUAUCGAUAGUCCACGUUGGACCUUACUUAGUUGCUUUGGUUUGUAUACCGCCGUUUAUUGAUUAUCUUUUUAGAGUUUAUUUAAUUUUCUGGUUUCUUUAUUUUGAUUUAUUUCAGGUCAAGGUGCAGCUUGUUUCUAAGUGAAUGAUGGAUUACAUUGUUAUUUGUUUUGUGAAUUAUUGGUUUUAAUAUUGGUAUGAAAUUGGAUUUGGUUGUAAUGAUUUGUARAUUGUUAUUGUGAUAAAUGGUUCUGGGAUAUGCACACAUCGCCCGU
rnacentral:rRNA from 1 species